GGUAAUUCAGAGAAAAAUAGUAAAUCUUAAGCUUUGAUUUAAAAAUUUUUUUUAAUGUAUACAAAAUUCUGUUCUUUGGGCUUAACUUGAUGAGUUCAGUUAUGACCCAGGAAGAAAGCAUAAAAAGUAGAAGUAGUAUAAAAAGAAUACUAUCAGAAAUCUAUGUCAAGAUGAGUCAUGACAAAAGUUUACCUGUGGGAAUAAAAAAAGAAAAGUUUGCAUGCUAAAAAGCAAAUUGCCCCAGAAGCUAGUAAGUAGAAAAAGAAAUGUUUUUAGAGAUCAAACCAAUUAUAGAAUGACUAUAAUUGUAAAAGAUGUUUGAUACAAUUUGAUUAGAAUUUAUUACCUCAUUGAGUAUGACAUACUAAAUUUUAAGGAAGUCAUUGAGACAUAUUAAAUCUGAAAGAAGUCACUUAAAAGUUCAUCCAUUAGUUAUAUGUUAUCUUGAAAGUUUUAGCAAUUUCAAAAAGCAUAGUAGCUAAAUUUAAAAAAAAAUAGUAUCAGCAGUUUAUGAUGCCUUUAUUACAGCUAGGUACAUAUCCAUGAAUAACUAAAAAUAAAGACUAAUGUUUAAGUAUAUGAAGUAUGAGUUUAGGCUUCUUAUUGAAGUUCUUUUUGGAUUUCUCUAAUGGGACUCUCCCUCCAUAGUGAUGUGUUCUUUGACAGUGAUAGCAGGGAGAGGUUGAGGUUGCUUGGAAGAAGCAGGAUUGUUUAAAAAAGAAAAAAGUUGCCAGUACUCCAACCAUCUCAUUUUGUAUAAACUUAGAGCAUCUGAACAUGGUUCAAAACACUGUUUCUAACAUCUAAAAACAUGCUUUUCCCUUAAUAGAAACGUUUUUAAUAUUGGGAAACGCAGAUGCUUUAUGGAUUUAUUAUUGAAGAUAUACCUCAGUAAAUGAGAUGAAGGGGAGUAGGUUCUUCUUUAAAGCGAGAGAAGGGCUAUCUGCAACUUGGGAAAUUUC
rnacentral:lncRNA from 1 species